rnacentral:lncRNA from 1 species
UGGAGUUAAGUACAACAUGGAAAAUGGUGGACCUGCGCCAGAAGGUGUUACUAAUAAGAUCUAUGAGAACACUACGACAAUAAAGGAGUAUUUGAUUGCAGAGGGCCUGCCUGAUGUAGAACCUACUCUUUAACUAUUAUAUUUAAAUGUGCAUUUAAGUACUUAUUUUGAUUGAUCAAGGUACUCUUCUGACAAUGCCCUAUUUGAAUUGAGGCGGACAUCUCUAAAACUGGCGUUUCAAGCUUUGAGGGCCCNNNNNNNNNNNNNNNNNNNNNNNNNAGAUGGGAAAUUUGAUGUUGAUGUCUUCGAUUCAACUAUUGAUUAUGUGAAACUGAUGAAGUAUGAAUUAAACCCCCCGCCCUCUCUAUUAUUUUUUCUUUUGGGCAUAUCAUUCAAUAUGUGUCUGUCUUCUUUUAGUUCGGAUGUAUGUCAAAUAUGUUCAUGUCAAGUUCAAACGAUAAUUUAGAGCAGCCAUUAUACCGAUGUUGCUGAAUGUGUAGUUCCCUUCCAUAGUAUUAAGGGUGCAUGAUGGAACUACGGGUUGAUGCGUGCAUCUUCAAUUUUUUAAUUAUACGGGAAGCAGUUGUUUUGUGAUUGCCAGAACUCACCUUAUCAUCAUUAUCAUUUAUUUGAUAGAGUAAUAUCUUAUUCUUGUAAAAUUGCCAGUGAUCCAGGUAUUCUUAAUGGUUGCACUUCUGAUUCAAAACUUGAUCUG